CCCGCAGGGAUGGCCCCGCCGCCCCCGAGGGCUCCGGCUCCACUCACAGCUCCCCCGAGAGCCGCCGGCACCACGACAGGGCCGAGAAGCCGGAGCCGCCGGAUUUCUCCCGCUCCUCCUCCAGCGCCAGCAGCUUCGGCAGCGCCGCCGAGGAGCCCGAGCCGGGCCGGGAGAGCCGCUCACCCUCGGGGACCCACCGCAACGCCUUCCCCGACACCCCCUGGCCGGAUGAUCCCCCCGGGACCCCCACAGGCCGCCGCCCCCCCGACUCCCCCUGCCCUGAGAUCAAAAUCCAGCUGGAGCAGCCCCCCCAUAAUCCGGUGAGGCUGUGCCCCCCCACCAGUGCACCCCAGUACGGGGGUGCCCGCACUGGGGUGCCCCCACUGAUGUCCCUCCCACAGGGCUCAUAGUCACCCCCCCACCCGCGGGGGGGUCACCGCUUCACCCCCCCACUCCCCCCGUGUGCCACCCCCAUGCCAGGAGCUGAAGCCAUCGUCCCCGGUGCAGGAUUUGGGGGGACCCCCCCAAAAAUGGGAGUGUCCUCCCCUCCAGACAAUCUCUGUCACCCCAAAUACCCCUCGGGGGAGGGGGGGUGAUGCACCACAAAGGGCCCCCCCUCUGCCGUGACCCCAAAAUGAGGAGCGGGUCCAACCCCAGCAUCACCCCCUCCCUACAAAAGAAAUGGGGGGCUCAAAUCCAGGGUAACCCCAAAGUGGGGCUCCCCCUCCCCACCUUUAUUUUAAGGGAAAAAAGCUCCGGAAUGGGUCGGAGGCUGGAACUGGGGGGAGGGGAGGAUUAUUUUUUCACACCUCCCCAACUCGUGUUUGUGUUUCCCGCGAGUCAGGUAUAAAAUAAAGGUUUAUUUAUCGCUA